GCCUGGGUGGCUCAGUUGGUUGAGCGUCCAACUUUGGCUCGGGUCAUGAUCUCGCAGUUAGUGAGUUCAAGUCCCACAUCGGGCU
rfam:Felis catus isolate Cinnamon breed Abyssinian chromosome C2, whole genome shotgun sequence.